rnacentral:rRNA from 1 species
CAGUCGCCGCGGGAAUACGAAGGGGGCUAGCGUUGUUCGGAAUUACUGGGCGUAAAGCGCACGUAGGCGGAUAUUUAAGUCAGGGGUGAAAUCCCGCAGCUCAACUGCGGAACUGCCUUUGAUACUGGGUAUCUUGAGUAUGGAAGAGGUAAGUGGAAUUCCGAGUGUAGAGGUGAAAUUCGUAGAUAUUCGGAGGAACACCAGUGGCGAAGGCGGCUUACUGGUCCAUUACUGACGCUGAGGUGCGAAAGCGUGGGGAGCAAACAGGAUUAGAUACCCCAGUAGUCCCUGUCUCUUAUAC